ACGACGACUGGCGCACGGGUGAGUAACGCGUAUCCAACCUUCCCAUGACCACGGGAUAACCCGUUGAAAGACGGCCUAAUACCGUAUGACGUCGUUUGCCGACAUCGAAAGACGACCAAAGGUUUGGCGGUGAUGGAUGGGGAUGCGUCUGAUUAGCUUGUUGGCGGGGUAACGGCCCACCAAGGCGACGAUCAGUAGGGGUUCUGAGAGGAUGAACGGCCACAUUGGGACUGAGACACGGCCCAGACUCCUACGGGAGGCAGCAGAU
rnacentral:rRNA from 1 species